rnacentral:rRNA from 1 species
UUAAGUUAUUAAGGGCGCACGGUGGAUGCCUUGGCACUAGAAGCCGAUGAAGGACGUUACUAACGACGAUAUGCUUUGGGGAGCUGUAAGUAAGCUUUGAUCCAGAGAUUUCCGAAUGGGGAAACCCAGCAUGAGUUAUGUCAUGUUAUCGAUAUGUGAAUACAUAGCAUAUCAGAAGGCACACCCGGAGAACUGAAACAUCUUAGUACCCGGAGGAAGAGAAAGAAAAUUCGAUUCCCUUAGUAGCGGCGAGCGAAACGGGAAGAGCCCAAACCAACAAGCUUGCUUGUUGGGGUUGUAGGACACUCUAUACGGAGUUACAAAGGACGACAUUAGACGAAUCAUCUGGAAAGAUGAAUCAAAGAAGGUAAUAAUCCUGUAGUCGAAAAUGUUGUCUCUCUUGAGUGGAUCCUGAGUACGACGGAGCACGUGAAAUUCCGUUGGAAUCUGGGAGGACCAUCUCCUAAGGCUAAAUACUCUCUAGUGACCGAUAGUGAACCAGUACCGUGAGGGAAAGGUGAAAAGCACCCCGGAAGGGGAGUGAAAUAGAACCUGAAACCGUGUGCUUACAAGUAGUCAGAGCCCGUUAAUGGGUGAUGGCGUGCCUUUUGUAGAAUGAACCGGCGAGUUACGAUUUGAUGCAAGGUUAAGCAGUAAAUGUGGAGCCGUAGCGAAAGCGAGUCUGAAUAGGGCGUUUAGUAUUUGGUCGUAGACCCGAAACCAGGUGAUCUACCCUUGGUCAGGUUGAAGUUCAGGUAACACUGAAUGGAGGACCGAACCGACUUACGUUGAAAAGUGAGCGGAUGAACUGAGGGUAGCGGAGAAAUUCCAAUCGAACCUGGAGAUAGCUGGUUCUCUCCGAAAUAGCUUUAGGGCUAGCCUCAAGUGAUGAUUAUUGGAGGUAGAGCACUGUUUGGACGAGGGGCCCCUCUCGGGUUACCGAAUUCAGACAAACUCCGAAUGCCAAUUAAUUUAACUUGGGAGUCAGAACAUGGGUGAUAAGGUCCGUGUUCGAAAGGGAAACAGCCCAGACCACCAGCUAAGGUCCCAAAAUAUAUGUUAAGUGGAAAAGGAUGUGGCGUUGCCCAGACAACUAGGAUGUUGGCUUAGAAGCAGCCAUCAUUUAAAGAGUGCGUAAUAGCUCACUAGUCGAGUGACACUGCGCCGAAAAUGUACCGGGGCUAAACAUAUUACCGAAGCUGUGGAUUGUCCUUUGGACAAUGGUAGGAGAGCGUUCUAAGGGCGUUGAAGCAUGAUCGUAAGGACAUGUGGAGCGCUUAGAAGUGAGAAUGCCGGUGUGAGUAGCGAAAGACGGGUGAGAAUCCCGUCCACCGAUUGACUAAGGUUUCCAGAGGAAGGCUCGUCCGCUCUGGGUUAGUCGGGUCCUAAGCUGAGGCCGACAGGCGUAGGCGAUGGAUAACAGGUUGAUAUUCCUGUACCACCUAUAAUCGUUUUAAUCGAUGGGGGGACGCAGUAGGAUAGGCGAAGCGUGCGAUUGGAUUGCACGUCUAAGCAGUAAGGCUGAGUAUUAGGCAAAUCCGGUACUCAUUAAGGCUGAGCUGUGAUGGGGAGAAGACAUUGUGUCUUCGAGUCGUUGAUUUCACACUGCCGAGAAAAGCCUCUAGAUAGAAAAUAGGUGCCCGUACCGCAAACCGACACAGGUAGUCAAGAUGAGAAUUCUAAGGUGAGCGAGCGAACUCUCGUUAAGGAACUCGGCAAAAUGACCCCGUAACUUCGGGAGAAGGGGUGCUCUUUAGGGUUAACGCCCAGAAGAGCCGCAGUGAAUAGGCCCAAGCGACUGUUUAUCAAAAACACAGGUCUCUGCUAAACCGUAAGGUGAUGUAUAGGGGCUGACGCCUGCCCGGUGCUGGAAGGUUAAGAGGAGUGGUUAGCUUCUGCGAAGCUACGAAUCGAAGCCCCAGUAAACGGCGGCCGUAACUAUAACGGUCCUAAGGUAGCGAAAUUCCUUGUCGGGUAAGUUCCGACCCGCACGAAAGGCGUAACGAU